AGAGUUUGAUUAUGGCUCAGGAUGAACGCUGGCGGCGUGCUUAACACAUGCAAGUCGAACGGAGUUUUAACGGAAGUUUCGGAUGGAAGUUUAAGAACUUAGUGGCGGACGGGUGAGUAACGCGUGGGUAACCUGCCUCAUACAGGGGGAUAACAGUUAGAAAUGACUGCUAACACCGCAUAAUAUAGCGAAACCGCAUGAUUUUGCUAUCAAAUAUUUAUAGGUAUGAGAUGGGCCCGCGUCUGAUUAGCUAGUUGGUGGGGUAAAGCCUACCAAGGCGACGAUCAGUAGCCGGCUUGAGAGAGUGACCGGCCACAUUGGGACUGAGACACGGCCCAAACUCCUACGGGAGGCAGCAGUGGGGAAUAUUGGACAAUGGGGGAAACCCUGAUCCAGCGAACCGCCGCGUGAGUGAAGAAGUAUUUCGGUAUGUAAAGCUCUAUCAGCAGGGAAGAUAAUGACAGUACCUGACUAAGAAGCCCCGGCUAACUACGUGCCAGCCGCUGC
rnacentral:rRNA from 1 species